rnacentral:misc_RNA from 1 species
CAAACAGAAAGAAGUGCUCAAGGUAAUUGUCACAGAGGUGUUGGGUGGUGGCAAGUUUUAUGUCCAGACAAUUGGGGACCAAAAAGCCACUUCUCUACAGCAACAGCUGGCGGCUUUGAAUCUUCAAGAAGUCCCCUUAAUUGGUGCUUUUAGUCCUAAAAAAGGUGAUAUUGUCCUUGCUCAGUUUAGCGCUGACAACUCGUGGAACAGGGCAAUGAUUAUCAAUACACCUCGAGGGGCUGUCGAAUCCCUGAAAGAUAUGUUUGAAGUGUUCUAUAUAGAUUUUGGAAAUCAAGAGGCUGUUCCUUACAGUCGACUCCGCCCAGUUGAUCCUUCUAUGUCUUCUGCCCCUGGUCUCGCUCAGCUGUGUAGUCUUGCUCACAUCAAGGUUCCUAGUCUGGAUGAGGAUUUCGGUCAAGAAGCAGCUGAGUAUCUGAGUGAUUACAUGCUUAAUGGUGCAAAGGAAUUCGUGGCCACAAUUGAAGAAAAGGAUACUUCUGGGGGCAAAGUUAAAGGGCAAGGAACUGGGAAUAUUCUUAUCGUGACCCUUGUUGCUGUUGGAUCGGAGCUCAGUUUAAAUGCAUUGAUGCUUCAGGAAGGACUUGCUAGACUAGAGAAAAGGAAAAAGUGGGAAUCCAAGGAAAGACAAGUUGCCUUUGGAAGUUUAGAAGGAUACCAAGAGGAAGCACGGACAGACCGGCGAGGGAUGUGGCAAUACGGAGACAUUCAGUCUGAUGAAGAGGACGCCGGUCCUGUGAGAAAACCCGGUGGCAGGCGUUGAAAACAUAUGCCUCCGUAAAUUAAGAUAGACAACUUUAUUAGUCUAAACUUAAUCAAUGCUAUAGUGAUAAUCACGUUUUCAGUAUGAGAACAGAAGUGUUGCUGCGUAAAGACAAUGUGAAGUUUUGUCCUUAUCUAUUUUUU